rnacentral:misc_RNA from 1 species
AAAAAAACUUGAAAGGGGAGAAAAAGAUGAUUGACAGGAGAAAGAAGCCGAGGACGUUUGAUUUGAGUAUGAAUUAGGACAAUUUUACUAGACAAAAAGGGGCAGACAUAUUGGGCGUAUGAUGGUUCAUUACCCCAUAUGAGUGGGUACAUGCCUACACAAGUCAGGCCGUGGCAGAUGCACACCAGCACUGCAACCCAAGCGCCCUUAACAGCAAAUUCCACAUGGGAUUAAACUUAUUAGUAUAAAGCAAGAAGGCCCAAUAGCAAUUUUGACAGGGUUUUAUGUAGAUGGAUGGGCUUCAAGGUACCUUAACAGCCUUCAAUUCUGCGCUUGCAUGGCCUGGCUUGCUACUUUUGCUUUCAUAAGCACAAAUACGAUCCCAUUUAAGGAAUUUUUCAUUUUUAACGCAAACAACUUGCACGUGG